rnacentral:rRNA from 1 species
CUCGUAGGCGGUUCGUCGCGUCCGGUGUGAAAGUCCAUCGCUUAACGGUGGAUCCGCGUCGGGUACGGGCGGGCUUGAGUGCGGUAGGGGAGACUGGAAUUCCCGGUGUAACGGUGGAAUGUGUAGAUAUCGGGAAGAACACCAAUGGCGAAGACAGGCCUCUGGGCCGUCACUGACGCUGAGGAGCGAAAGCGUGGGGAGCGAACA